GCCACGGUGGUCUAGCGGUUAGAACGCUGGCCUUGUAAUCCGGGGGGGUCUCGGGUUCGAUUCCCGGCGGUGCCC
rnacentral:tRNA from 1 species